rnacentral:rRNA from 1 species
UCAGACGAUGCGUCAUGCAUAUCAAUAAGCGGAGGAAAAGAAACUAACUAGGAUUCCCUCAGUAACGGCGAGUGAAGCGGGAAGAGCUCAAAUUUGAAAUCUUCAAGGUUUUACCUUGACGAAUUGUAGUUUAAAGAAGUGUUUUCUGUUGAAGUCUUGGUAAAAGUUCUUUGGAAUAGGACAUCAUAGAGGGUGAGAAUCCCGUAUUUGACCAUUAUUUUCAGCUGUGUGAUACACUUUCAAAGAGUCGGAUUGUUUGGGAAUGCAGUCCAAAAUGGGUGGUAAAUUUCAUCUAAAGCUAAAUAUUGGCGAGAGACCGAUAGCGUACAAGUACCGUGAGGGAAAGAUGAAAAGAACUUUGAAAAGAGAGUUAAACAGUACGUGAAAUUGUCAAAAGGGAAGCGUUUGACACCAGUGUUGUUUUCUCGAAAAUCAAUUAAAAAGAGUUGGAUUUUGUGUUGUAUUGACCUUAACAGCUUGCUUCACUCUUUUCCUGCUUUUUUUAAUGCACUUUUCGUUUAACAAGUCAACAUCAGUUUCUUUUGUUGUAAAAGGGUCAUUGGAAGGUGGCUUUCAUUUCGGUAGAAAGUGUUUAUAGCCUUUGACUCUCUGCAAUCGGAGAGAUUGAGGUCUGCAGCGUAGAUCCUUCGGGGUUAGAUACAUUUGUGCUAAGUUAUAGCUUUUCAUAGACAACAUGUUGACUAUGAUUAAGUCAUGUAGCUUACUCGCUUAUGCUAUUUUACCUACGCUUAGGAUGUUGAUAUGCAUGACUGAUAU